rnacentral:misc_RNA from 1 species
CAGUGUUCCCUGCCCUCGCGGGUAGGAUCGCCCACCCUUGAAUAUGAUGUUUGUUGCUUUGGCGGGCCACGGGGCCCAGCCGCGCCCCCGUUCCGGCGGGGAGCGCCCGCCAGAGGACCCCAAACCCUGAAUAUCAGUGUCGUCUGAGUACCAUAUAAUACUUA